AGAAUAAGUGGUGGGUAAGACCGGUGCCAGCAGCCGCGGUAAUCCCGGCGCCACAAGUAGGGACCAGGGUUAUUGGGCCUAAAGCGUUCGUAGCAGGUCGGAUAAAUCUCUUGUGAAAUCGUUGGGCUUAACCUAACGGCGUGCAGGAGAGACUGUUCGACUUGAGACCGGGAGGGGUCGGGAGUAUUCCUUGGGGAGCGGUAAAAUGCUAUAAUCCUUGGAAGACUACCUGUGGCGAAGGCGCCCGACCAGAACGGGUCUGACUGUGAGGGACGAAAGCUAGGGGAGCAAUCCGGAUUAGAUACCC
rnacentral:rRNA from 1 species